GGGGAUGUAAAGGUUUCGACGGGAGUCUUGAAAACAGGGACAGCCAUUCGCAGAUCCUAUGAGCUGCGCUAAAAACAUGGGAAACUUUUAAAAAAUAAACGACAAAGAUUAUACUUUAUUAGCAGCCUAAGUGCUGCUCGUCGGCCUUGAAUUGCUCACAGUUUGAGUAACCGGCGUCGAAAUUGUGAGGCCCUUUUCGUUUUAAGCUUUGCGGACGGAAAAGAUUUAUGAAGCUACUGAGGUUUGCAGCCUGCUUGUGGGCGGCAAAACGAGGGAAUGUUAAAACAUAAGCUGUGAUGGAAGAAAUCUCUGCCGACGGGUUUUCGGACAGGGGUUCGACUCCCCUCAUCUCCAU
rnacentral:tmRNA from 1 species